CCUACGGGUGACUGCAGUCGAGAAUCAUUCACAAUGGGGGAAACCCUGAUGCUGCGACGCCGCGUGGGGGAAUGAAGGUCUUCGGAUUGUAAACCCCUGUCAUGUGGGAGCAAAUUAAAAAGAUAGUACCAUAAGAGGAAGAGACGUCUAACUCUGUGCCAGCAGCCGCGGUAAUACAGAGGUCUCAAGCGUUGUUCGGAAUCACUGGGCGUAAAGCGUGCGUAGGCGGUUUCGUAAGUCGUGUGUGAAAGGCGCGGGCUCAACCCGCGGACGGCACAUGAUACUGCGAGACUAGAGUAAUGGAGGGGGAGCCGGAAUUCUCGGUGUAGCAGUGAAAUGCGUAGAUAUCGAGAGGAACACUCAUGGCGAAGGCGGGUUGCUGGACAUUAACUGACGCUGAGGCACGAAGGCGAGGGGAGCGAAAGGGAUUAGAUACCCUAGUAGUC
rnacentral:rRNA from 1 species